GUCCAGGGUAGCCUAGUGGACAUGGAAUCUGCCCGGUAAGCUGAACACUGUAAGUUCGAUUCCCAUCACUUGACA
rnacentral:tRNA from 1 species